AAUAGAUACCCCGGGUAGUCCACGCCGUAAAACGAUGAGUACUAGCUGUCGGAGGUUACCCCCUUCGGUGGCGCAGCUAACGCAUUAAGUACUCCGCCUGGGAAGUACGCUCGCAAGAGUGAAACUCAAAGGAAUUGACGGGGACCUGCACAAGUAGCGGAGCAUGUGGUUUAAUUCGAAGCAACGCGAAGAACCUUACCUAAGCUUGACAUCCUUUUGACCGAUGCCUAAUCGCAUCUUUCCCUUCGGGGACAGAAGUGACAGGUGGUGCAUGGUUGUCGUCAGCUCGUGUCGUGAGAUGUUGGGUUAAGUCCCGCAACGAGCGCAACCCUUGCCUUUAGUUGCCAGCAUUAAGUUGGGCACUUUAGAGGGACUGCCAGGGAUAACCUGGAGGAAGGUGGGGAUGACGUCGAAAUCAUCAUGCCCCUUAUGCUUAGGGCUACACACGUGCUACAAUGGGUGGUACAGAGGGCAGGCCAAGUCGUGAGGCGGAGCUAAUCCCUUAAAGCCAUUCUCAGUUCGGAUUGUAGGCUGAAACUCG
rnacentral:rRNA from 1 species